rnacentral:rRNA from 1 species
GCUAAAAAUCUAGCCCAAAUCUUCAUAUGUAAACCCUACCCUUACAGCCACCAAAUAAAACAUUUUAACAACUUAGUAAAGGCGAUCGAAAAAUUUAAUGGAGCUAUAAAUAUAGUACCGCAAGGGAAAGAUGAAAUAGAAAUGAAACAACUACUUAAGCACAAAAAAGUAGAGACUGCCCCUCGUACCUUUUGCAUCAUGGUUUAACUAGUCCAAUCAAGCAAAACGACUUUAAGUUUGACUUCCCGAAACUAAGCGAGCUACUUCAAGGCAGCUUAAUGAGCCAACCCGUCUCUGUUGCAAAAGAGUGGGAAGACCUUCAAGUAGGGGUGACAGACCUAACGAGCUUAGUGAUAGCUGGUUACUCAAGAAAAGGAUUUUAGUCCAACCUAAAGUUAACUUAAUAAACCUAAAUAUUCCCCUAACUUUAGAGCAAUUCAAAUAAGGUACAGCCUAUUUGAAACAGGAUACAACCUUUAAUAAUGGGUAAACAUAAUGAUUCACAUAACUAAGUGGGCCUAAGAGCAGCCACCUUAAAAAUAGCGUCAAAGCUUAAUUAUAGUAUCAUCUAAUAACUCUCAUAAUUCUGAGCCCUUCCUCAAUAUUGAGUAAAUCUAUAUCAUUAUAGAAAUUUUUAUGUUAAAACUAGUAACAAGAAGAAGACCUUCUCUUAAAUGUAAGUGUAGAUCAGAAAGGACACGCCACUGAUAAUUAACACCUAUGAACCAAAAGUAGUAACUUAACAAGAAAAUCCUACUACACCUAAUGUUAACCUAACACAAGAACAUUCCAAGAAAGAUUAAAAGAAAAAGAAGGAACUCGGCAAAUAUUAACCUCGCCUGUUUACCAAAAACAUCGCCUCUUGACAAAAUAUAAGAGGUCCAGCCUGCCCAGUGACUCUGUUUAACGGCCGCGGUAUCCUAACCGUGCGAAGGUAGCGUAAUCACUUGUUCUUUAAAUGAGGACUAGUAUGAAUGGCAUCACGAGGGUUAUACUGUCUCCCUUUUCUAAUCAGUGAAACUAAUCUUCCCGUGAAGAAGCGGGAAUAAAGCUAUAAGACGAGAAGACCCUAUGGAGCUUUAAACAAAAUAACAAUUGCUACUAUCAUUAUCUAUUUCAGAAAUUUAAAUUUUAUCUUAGCAUUAUGAUUAUUAGUUUUAGGUUGGGGUGACCGCGGAGUAAAAAUUAACCUCCGCAUUGAAAGGAUAAUUUCCUAAGCAAAAAGUUACGACUUUAUGCAUCAACAAAUUGACAUUAAUUGACCCAAUAUUUUGAUCAACGAACCAAGUUACCCUAGGGAUAACAGCGCAAUCCACUUCAAGAGCUCCUAUCGACAAGUGGGUUUACGACCUCGAUGUUGGAUCAGGGUAUCCCAGUGGUGCAGCCGCUACUAAAGGUUCGUUUGUUCAACGAUUAAAACCCUACGUGAUCUGAGUUCAGACCGGAGUAAUCCAGGUCAGUUUCUAUCUAUAAGGAGCUUUUUCCAGUACGAAAGGAUCGAAAAAGCAUGGCCAAUGCUACAUGCAAGCCGUCACUAUUAAUUUAUGCUUUAAACUUAAUUAACAACUAAUCCACAACCAUCCUCUAGAAAAGAGAA